rnacentral:rRNA from 1 species
CCUACGGGAGGCAGCAGUGAGGAAUAUUGGUCAAUGGACGCAAGUCUGAACCAGCCAUGUCGCGUGAGGGAAGACUGUCCUAUGGAUUGUAAACCUCUUUUGUCAGGGAGCAAAGUCACCCACGUGUGGGUGUUGGAGAGUACCUGAAGAAAAAGCAUCGGCUAACUCCGUGCCAGCAGCCGCGGUAAUACGGAGGAUGCGAGCGUUAUCCGGAUUUAUUGGGUUAAAAGGGUGCGUAGGCGGGUUAUCAAGUCAGCGGUAAAAUGGUGGAGCUCAACUCCAUCGAGCCGUUGAAACUGGUGAUCUUGAGUGGGCGAGAAGUAUGCGGAAUGCGUGGUGUAGCGGUGAAAUGCAUAGAUAUCACGCAGAACUCCGAUUGCGAAGGCAGCAUACCGGCGCCCGACUGACGCUGAAGCACGAAAGCGUGGGUAUCGAACAGGAUUAGAUACCCGAGUAGUC